rnacentral:rRNA from 1 species
AACGUAGGUGGCGAGCGUUAUCCGGAUUUACUGGGCGUAAAGCGUGUUCAGGCGGUUUGGAAAGUCGGGCAUUAAAUCUCUUGGCUCAACCGGGAGAGGCUGUCCGAUACUUCCAGACUUGAGGGCAACAGAGGGCGAUGGAAUUCCGGGUGUAGUGGUAAAAUGCGUAGAUAUCCGGAGGAACACCAGUGGCGAAAGCGGUCGCCUGGGUUGCAUCUGACGCUAAAACACGAAGGCUAGGGCAG